UGCUAUAUAAGGCGCGGGGGCGGGCCCUUCUUCCUUUUCCGCUGCCGCGGCCAUGCGGGCCCGGUGUCCCUCGGGCGGCCCCGCCGAUGAAUAUAUAUCAGCUACACUCCUUCUUCCUGUGGCUUCAGUGCAGGUCUGCCCCCAAAUGUGGAGACCUAAAGCUACUUCUUCCCAAGGAUUUGAAUCCUGCACUUCAGAGAGAUGCAGAAGGAGCAUCAUCACCUGGCACUGGGAGAUUAAACUAUAAGCUGUUUCAAGGCUGCCCUCAACAGAGGAGCCCCAUGCCUCUUGUGUGAGAAACCAUUUCACCUGUUACUGAUGUUGAUGAAGACAAGGCCUUUGUAAUUAAAGGCUUCCAAAUGUUUCUCAUUGUGAGGUGCGAUGGAGCAGGGAAGUGAUGCACGUGGUAGUGCUGCGAGCAAAAGGUGACACUUGCAUGGAGUUUGAGAAAUAAAAUGGAUGUCUCUGAGGUAAGUGAAGGCACUGUGCUGUCUGCAGCCUCACUGGGUGAAGAGGCAACUCUGGAACUAGCAUAUGAGGAAUUGAGGAGGUGGAAGAUGGCUGAUAAAUGGGUUACACUUGAGUGAACAGCAUUAAAAAAGCCAUGUGUUUUUACCUCACUGGUUAUGUUUGCCUGAUGCUGAUUGGAGUGAAUAAAAAUCUGUAAACUCUA